rnacentral:ncRNA from 1 species
GAGUGGUAUGGAUGCAACCUGAAGGAAUUGACAAAAGGGCAGCAACAGAAAAGGAGUCUGCGGCUUAAUUUGAUUCAACAUGGAAAACCUUACCAGGUCCGAACAUAAGUGCGUAAGAAGAAUGGAUAGCUCUUUCCUGAAUUUAGGGACGGCGAUAUAUGGCCGUUCUGAGUUCGUGAAUUGAUUUGUCUGGUUAUUUCCGAUAACGAACGAGACUCAAGUAUACUAAACAGAUACUUGCAAGAUUAUAAUGUUGAAGCUUCAUUAACAAACGUACUAGAAUAUGUGAGUGCUUGAAAGCGUCUAUAAAAGUGGAGCAGUGUGUUUUAUAGGGCACUAGCUUUCUAAAUAGAAUAAUUGGAUCCAGCAAUAAUGAGAUUGAGGUAUAACAUGUCUGCAAAGCCUUUAGUUGUCUUGGGCUGCUGUCCACGCUACAAUGAAAGUAUCAAUGUGCAUUUCCUAGGCCAAGAGGUUCGUGUAAACCACCGAGCUAUUUUCAUGAUUGGAAUUACGAACUGCAGUUGUUCACAUGAACUUGGCAUUCCCACUAACUGUGAGUCAUUAACUCGCCCUGAUUAUAUCCCUGCUCUUUAUACACUCUGCGCGUCACUACUAUAGGUUGAAUUGUUUAGUGAAAUAACGGAAUGUGAUUACCGUAACGCAUUUUAUGUGUUGCGGAUGUUUCGCAAAAGUUCACCGAACUUGAUUAGUUAGAGGAAGUAAAAGUUGUAACCGUAAA